GAACGCUGGCGGCAGGUUUAACACAUGCAAGUAGAGCGGAAAGGAUGAUAGCUUGCUAUCAGGCGUCGAGCGGCGGACGGGUGAGUAAUACUUAGGAAUCUACCUAGUAGUGGGGGAUAGCACGGGGAAACUCGUAUUAAUCCCGCAUCCGACCUACGGGAGAAAGGGGGCAGUUUACUCCUCUCGCUAUUAGAUGAGCCUAAGUCGGAUUAGCUAGAUGGUGGGGUAAAGGCCUACCAUGGCGACGAUCUGUAGCUGGUCUGAGAGGAUGAUCAGCCACACCGGGACUGAGACACGGCCCGGACUCCUACGGGAGGCAGCAGUGGGGAAUAUUGGACAAUGGGGGAAACCCUGAUCCAGCCAUGCCGCGUGUGUGAAGAAGGCCUUUUGGUUGUAAAGCACUUUAAGCAGUGAAGAAGACUCCUCGGUUAAUACCCGUGGACGAUGACAUAGCUGCAGAA
rnacentral:rRNA from 1 species